CAACCAUUUCCGUCAAACAAGAGUUUGCUACAAGCAAGAAUUCACAUUUUUGGUCCGACCAGGAAACAAUGGUAAUGUUAGGCAUUCUGAAAGAAAUGGAUAUUAUGAAGUGCCUUGAUGGCCGUAAGAACAGGAAUGGUGACAUAUUUAAAAGAGUCGCAGAAAGAAAGGGAGAGGAAGGUUACGUACGUUCGGCUGAACAAGUGCGCACCCGCUGGAAAAUCCUAAAAACUAGCUACUAUCGGGCGAAAAAACAAAACAACACCAGCGGUUCUAAUCCUUCAUCUUUCCCACAUUUUGAAAGUAUGCAUGACAUAGUCAUCGACCUUUGUCCAACAUUUCCGAGAAUGGAGUGGACAUUGGGUUUGACGGGGACGAGGAUGCAGCGGAACACUCGAAUUCAGUGGACGAGAGUGUCAUUGGGGAUGAAGUGAGUUCUCUAGCUCGCCAGGAGGAAAUGAACGAGGAUGCAGAUGAAGAUAAUGCAUCAUCAGCUGAUAUGUCUGGUACUCAAGAGGAAAGCUUUUCAGCCACAGCACCAGAUGUCGACCCACCCAGGACACAAGGUUACUUUCGAAGAAAGAAGAAAGCGAGAAGCACUGUGAUCUCUCAGCAUCAGCAGUUCAGGGUGUGUGCCUUUCCAAAUCAUGUCCAAUCAACUGAAUUUAUCACAAUUGGACUCCAAUCAAGUUGUAGAAACAUCUCAAGGAUGAUCAGUGGAAACAGGAUGCCCCCCAAGCUCAAUUUUGAGUGUCGUGGCAAAGGCUGUGAAUACUUAUGUACAUGUGAUUUUUUUUUUUUUUUUUAAAUAAAUUUGCAAAGGUUUCAAACAAACUUCUUUCAUGUUGUCAUUAUGGGGUAUUGUUUGUAGAAUUUUGAGGAAAAUAAUGAAUUAAUCCAUUCUGGAAUAAGGCUGUAACAUAACAAAAUGUGGGAAAAGUGAAGCUCUGUGAAUACUUUCCGGAUGCACUGUGUGUGUGUAUGUGUAUAUAUAUAUA
ensembl:lncRNA